CACCCCCGCCCGCCCCGAGAAAAGUUUUCACCGAAAACCCGAGGCUGCCAGAGCCGGAGUGGAAGCCACUGACGUCACUGGCGGGCUAGGGCACGGAGGGCGCCUGGAGACUCGGAUGGCGACCGAGGAUGUGGCUGCUUCCAAGGUGUCUCCAUCUGCGGGCAGGGAGGGGGCUCAGCCCCGGAAGCGGGCAGAGUUUGCACAGUUCAGGAGCGAAGGGUGGGAGCAAGCUGCCCGGGCCUGGCCUACUUGACGGGACGCGGGGUGCGUGCCUGCUUCCCAGGCUCCCCCCUCCCCUGCCAGGUGCCCGCAGCGGGGGCGACGCGGCCAGGGAGGGGUGCACGGAGGUGUCGCAGGACCGAGGCCACGCGCAAGUCGCCCUGUUCCUUGAGGCUUCCAUUUGCACCGGGUCGAGGUCACCGCUGCCCUCCGAGGCCGGGCUCUUCCCCUGCACCCUGGGAUGCCCGCCCGGGUUGUCCCACUCGGGAACAGGACGCAUCAUCCUGGAGCCGGGGCAAGAGCGUGCUCGGGGCCACAGCCCCCUUUCCGCCAGCCCCCAGCCCCGGCUGGGCUCCAGGUUCCCCGUCCCCAGGGUGCCGCUCAGCUCCGGGAUGUACUUUUGGCUCUCAGCCUCUGAAGUCAGGGUUGUCCACCGGUGUCCCCGCAUCCUGAACUUCUGCUGUCCCUGUGGCCAGCAGAGGCGCGGCGCCAGCUGCUGAAGUGGGAAGAGGGCAUGUUUCUGUCGGAGGGGUCUGGACAGACGCCUGCGUCCCUUUACGCAGCCCUGGGGAGGUGAGUUCCCCAUGGGCGGCAGCCACACGCGGAUCCCGGGACCCGAAGCUGAAGGCCUCUCGCCCCGCCCAGGGCCAGGGCCUCCUCUGCCCGAGCCCCUCACACCCUUCUUUCGCCUUCACCCUGCUCAGCUCCUGAUCAUCCUCGCCAAGCUCAGAGGCCUCCAAGCGCGGCCAAGCUUGGCUGGCGAAGCCGUGGCGCCCCGGCCCUUUCUCGCCUCUGCACCGGCUGUGCUCCGAGCUGCCUCCCUUCCAAGGACACUGGGCAGCCGGCUUCCUUCUGCUUCUGCCCCCCUCCCCCCGCUUAGAAACGGUACUUUCCGUUGGGUCCCCCAGAGCAGCCCAGGGUCUAACUCCCAACGCCCCGCGGCCCCAUGUUAAAGCUCCUGCGGUGAGCGGGCCUUGCGCGCAGCGCCCUGGCAGUCUUGCAAACAGGAUUCCUGGGAAAGUUUGCUCGGACUCCGUCAGCCCAGGACAGACCCCCCCCCCCCCCACCUCUGCUGCUCUCGACCUCUGCCCCCAGAGGCAGGAGUUGGGCUUCCUGGGAGCAGCAAGCCAACGCCACGGCCCCUCCUCCCUCCACAGCUGCCGGUCCCGAGGGCGCAGGACCCAGCCCCAGGCUGUGCUCCCGGAGCCGGGGGAGGAGAGCGAACCUCAGGGCUGGCUCUCCACAGCCGCCGGAGCUGAGUGCAUCCCGAUCGGCUUUUAGGAUGGCAUUGACUGGGACAAGCUGUUCCCAGCCCCGUAAGCGUUAAUCUGCCUGUUAAUCAAAGCACUGAGGGGCUCAAUGAGGGUUUUAUUAGCGACCGGAGAGCAGAGGCAGCAGCCAGGGAUCAAAAGCCAGGGUCCCAGGUACUUUGUCAGCAAGGCACUCAAAAAAAUUGUAUUUUCAAUUAGAGAACAAUUCGGGGCUUUUCAUCAUCUCCUAACCAGGUCUCACAGAUGCUGACUUCCAGACUGUGCGCAGGGGAGAACCAAAUGCCCGGGGGCGGACCGGGGCGGCCGAGGGGCCCUGACGCCUCCCGACGCAGUCGAAAGGGAAGCCGCGAGCCACACCGCCAAUGUGGGCUUCAGACCCUGGGUCGCCCGCGCCACUGCCGGGCUGCCGGAAGUUUACGGAGCCGGAGCCGAGAGACUCCCACGCGCCUCCUCUGCCCUGGAGGGAGGCUGGGUCCCCUCCAGGGUGCCUCUCAAACCCUAAAACAAAUACAUAAAAGCCCAGGCCUUGGGGACUUUUGAACAGCAAUUGCUCCAAUAAUCCAAAUUGUACGAGAACUCCAGGGAAAAGAGCCAACCCAGCCACACCCGCCCUGCGAUCGCGAGGGCAGCGGCGAGGCCACCGCGAGGACUCGGUCAGAGGCGAUUAUGUCACCGCGUUUUCUCGCCGUGACAGCCGAAUAAACACGAUCUCCAAUAAACAUCUCUAAUGAGGGAGGAGGCCCGAGGACGGCUGGGUUUGAUUUAUGACUGGAGAAGGUCCUCUGCCCACAGCGAGGCGGGCAGCCUGCUCUCCGCUCAGCUCGAGGAGAGAUCCGCGUGGGACCCAGCCCAGAGAAUGAAGUGUAAAACAGCAGAACGAGAGAUGAGGAAAACAGAAGCCAGACUGGUCCCCAGCCCGUGGUGCAGAUGGGGUGUGCCCAGGAAUGGUGGCUUUCACUGCUCUUCGUCCACCCUGCCGGAGCUGAAGGAGGGCAGCAGUCCUGUCCCGGAGGCAGGCGUGCACGACCUCACUGCACACCCAGCUCUGCAGCCGGGCGCGGAGUGAGCAGUCAAAGGCUGCCUUACCUGCCCAUGUGGAGAAGGUGUUGGCUAAGGGACCCCAUAGCCUUUGUUGAGGGACAAUAACUACCGACUGUUACACUUCCAUUUGGAAAGAACCUUUAUAAAAUGCGCUGCUUAACGUGGGACACUGAGGAAGGAAGAUCACUGGGAGUCCCGGCCCAGCUUGCAUUGCACAGCGAGAGCCUGUCUCAGAAAACCAAAAAUAAAAUGAAGUAAAAUAAAAUGCAUUGGCUAAAUAGAUACAGUACCAUUUUGGGGUAAUUACUACUGCUCAGGAAAGUAAGGGCGAGAACUUGAAGAGAAGCAGUGAGAGAGCUGAAAGGGGAGGCGCGGGAACAGCCCCUGGACCUGGGGCCCCUCAUGUUGCCUCUGUCUGGCUGCACAGCCUGCGGACCCGAGGCCCAGGAGCCUGGCCAGGCUGACCAAGCACGACCAGCAGAGGCUGUGGCCGGAGGGCAUCGAGCAGACGGCGUUUGCCGGCCCUUGCAUGGCGGUCCCUGCGGCUGAGGACACUGCUUGGUCCUGGCCGGGGCUCGGACCCGAGCUUGGAGCUUGGCAGCUCCCUCAGAGGGAGCUCCUGUCUUCCCAACUGCAAAAGAUCUACCUCCCUGUUUCCUGUGGUCUGUCUUUUACUUUGCUCUUCAUUUAUACUCUGGAUUUCUCAUAUAAGAUAAGCCAUGCGGUACUGAAGCCUGUGUGUCUGAUUUCACUUAACGUUUGCAUCCAC
rnacentral:lncRNA from 1 species